UGCAAGUCGAACGAUGAAGGUGGGAGCUUGCUCCUACUGGAUUAGUGGCGAACGGGUGAGUAACACGUGAGCAAUCUGCCCCUGACUCUGGGAUAAGCGUUGGAAACGACGUCUAAUACCGGAUACGAGCUGGGACCGCAUGGUCACCAGCUGGAAAGAACUUUGGUCAGGGAUGAGCUCGCGGCCUAUCAGCUUGUUGGUGAGGUAAUGGCUCACCAAGGCGACGACGGGUAGCCGGCCUGAGAGGGUGACCGGCCACACUGGGACUGAGACACGGCCCAGACUCCUACGGGAGGCAGCAGUGGGGAAUAUUGCACAAUGGGCGCAAGCCUGAUGCAGCAACGCCGCGUGAGGGACGAAGGCCUUCGGGUUGUAAACCUCUUUUAGCAGGGAAGAAGCGAAAGUGACGGUACCUGCAGAAAAAGCGCCGGCUAACUACGUGCCAGCAGCCGCGGUAAUACGUAGGGCGCAAGCGUUGUCCGGAAUUAUUGGGCGUAAAGAGCUCGUAGGCGGUUUGUCGCGUCUGCUGUGAAAAUCCGAGGCUCAACCUCGGACCUGCAGUGGGUACGGGCAAACUAGAGUGCGGUA
rnacentral:rRNA from 1 species